GGGGGCGUGGUGUAGCUGGCCUAACACGCGGCCCUGUCAAGGCCGAGACCGCGGGUUCGAAUCCCGUCGCUCCCGCCA
rnacentral:tRNA from 1 species